rnacentral:pre_miRNA from 1 species
AGGGGGCCGUUACACUGUCAGAGAUGUAGUCUGAGGGUCUCACAGUGAACCGGUCUCUUU